AUCCCUGUGGCUCAGUUGGUAGAGCAUGGUGUUUGCAAUGCCAGCAUGGUGUGUGCAACACCAGGGUUGUGGGUUCGAUUCCCACGGGGGGCC
rnacentral:tRNA from 1 species